ensembl:lncRNA SHROOM3-AS1 SHROOM3 antisense RNA 1
GCAGAGAGGGUCGCCCUCACCAAGAAGCCAAAGGGAAGAGGACAGAAUCUAUCUUGUAGGGACGCCCUUGGUCUUCAGAAGGAACACUUUUUCUGUUUCACAGAGAUCUGUGGAAUGUGUGGGUUCCCUGAAGAGGUGGACGGACCCCCGGGGUCGCGCGUUUUCUCAGCCCUGGGCCCGUAGCGGAGCUCGAUCCUUCCAGAGCUCAGGGCCAGAAAUGUUGCGAUUCCGAACACUUUGCCUUUCUUCUGAGAGGAGCCGCCCGGCAGACGCUCAUCAUUAAGAAGCAACGUAAUUAACAACGAAUGUUUCCCCUUGGCGCUAAUGCGAACACCCUGGGGAACUGCCAAGUCUGAUGCUUGCUGAAUGGCUGACUUCUCUGAAAGGGAAAACAGCAGAAUCUGAGAGGGGAGAGUGGAGCGGAGUUCUUCCUCCCCUGUGCUAACAGCCUGUAUCCUGACCAUCCUUGCCCCCGACUCCUCUCCCAGCAGCUGAGUGGCUUUUUGGACUGGGUUCUUUUUCCGAACUGCCAGCACCAACUUCCGUGCGUCUUACCUGUGCUUCAGCCGAAGUUUAACCCCUCCUGACCACGCUGCUUUCCUGUGCUGGGGGCCAGAGGUGAGGUGUUCUGGGCUGACGAAGUUAGAGGCACCAGUAUCUGCAUGGCCUGGGUCUGUGCACACAUCUCUGUCAACAAUAGGAAAAGAAGAAGCUGAGCAUGAUGGUGUUCAUGGACAGGAGCACAAAUGAAUCUUAAAAACCGAAAAAGCACAUGAAAACGAACCCCGGAGCCAGAGCAAAGCAGCACAGCUAAGUGCAGGGUUCUAAGCCUGCACCUAACAAAGUUCUCUGCCCUACGAAGGCGAAUCCACUACUGAGUGUCGUGUCUUCCUUUUUUAUCCAUGUUCCUCUGAAGCAAUAAAGCAUUAUUUCCCAAUCUCAGAAAACCCAGAUUUUCUAAGCAAAAAGGAAGAAAGUUAUAUUAACUGUUAUAAAGACAAACUCCCCUGUAAUUUGGUUUUGGUAAUAAGGGAAAAACUGGAUUCACUGAAGCAAACUGUCAAACGAGGUGGUUUGAAACCAAGCCUCUGCCACCUCACUUCUCAAGUUCUCUUUAAGGAGCGGGAUCUCCAAGUGUAACAGGCCUUGCUCUGUUCAGUGGGUGGCAGCUCAGAAGCACAUGCCAACUCUUGAGCUUGAGCUAUUUCAGAUUGUUUAGAUUCCACUGCACUGGGAGGCAAGCCUUUUGUGUGUCCAUUUAAAUCCACCCUCCCACCCCCAGUCCCUAACACCAUUCCCAUAACUCUCUUCCUCCAUACUCCCAGGGAGUCAGAGAAAAAUUUUAAGCCCUACAUGGCCAAUGUGUUCCGCCAUGGGAACAGGAACAUUUCUUCUCCUUAGGACAGUGACAGGUCAUGAAUUUCUAAGCAUCCUGACUGUGCUCUUGAUGUCUCAUCAGACUGUCCCCUGCAUCAGGCUUUGAAGUUUUGUCAUCAUCUCUGUUUGUGGGGAACCAGUGGUUUAUUUUCAAUUUCUGUCUUCAAGGAUUUUUCUAAGCCUCUGAGAUCUGACUGGUGGGCCCAUAAACAGAAUCUGGAGAAGGUACAAAUGAGGCCGUGCCUCCUCUGCACAGGCCAUGGCUGAGAGGGGAAGGGAUUACUGAACAGCUGUUAAGAAUAAGCCCCGUCCAUCUGGCCUUCUAUUUCCUGGAACACAGAACGGAAGUGAAAGAGCUUUCUUUCCUAAAUCCUAAGGCAAAUGAAAGGAUCUCUUUUUAUUCUACAGCAUGGGGAAGAUGGCCAGGAGGCCAACAGGGAGUUUCCAUUUCUAAGCUCAAGUUUUCAUGUUUACCUUAGUUAUAUCUAAGCACCACCACCUCCUUCUGUACAUUACUUUUCUCACCGAAUUUAGGAUUCUCGGCUUUGGAUAUAUUCAAUAUAGUGCUAGACUUGAAGUUUGAAAAUUGGUUGAGGUUAUGUCAAUAAUGAAC